AUAACUUGAGAGAGAAACACAGAUGAUAGGACAUGUUUUUUAAAGCACAUCACCAAAAGCAGCAGAGGGAAACAGUGAUAAUAUUGCAUAGAAUUCUCAAGUCAGCACAGAAGCUGAUGGCCACAGCAGCUUGGAGAACACUGGUAAGGACGCUUAUGGAAAUCGCCUGGCCAUUGUUAGCUGUUCUGACAGCAAGUCUGAAGUUUUAAAAUACAACAGGAGGUUGCUAUUACCUGAUGAGAGACAGACAGAGGAGUGUAUCCUGAUUGGAGAGCAAGUGGGGAGCAAUUGUAAGGAGCAGAGGGAAGG